GGCAAAAUUCAUUCUCACAAUCCUCUUCUUCUCCUCUGAUAAUCUUCUUCUUGUUCUCAGAUCUUCAAUUUAAAUAGUACCAAUAUAGUGGAUCAAAGACUCCCCAUGGACGCAAUCACAACAGAAACUACAGACUGGACGUGUACAGUACAGGUAGUAGACAAGUUCCGACCUCACAAAAGCAGUGACUCAUCCGUGCAUUUCUAAACAAUACUUGUGCAGAAUGAAAGAACAACAGGUUUCUAUAAUACUCAACGAUGAUGACAUUCCGAAGUAUAAGAAUUUGUUUGACCUUUUUGAGACAUAUUUGGUGACGUGUGCGAAAGUUAUAGAGCCCCGGGGUUACUCAAUACGAGCCGGUAUGUACAAAUAGGUAGCUGACAGAUACGCAAUCAUCGAAGCAGCUACCAAUAACAAUGUAUCGGAGGCACCCCUUCCUGCUCCAGCAAAAUUGGAUACACUUUCUUUCUCAGCUAUUGAACAACAAC